UUUCACGGAGCACUGAAUGAAUAGAUCGACUAACUUCUAGGAGAUUCUUCCGUGCCUAUUAUCCAAAAUUAUAUUUUUACAUUAAUUUUAAUUCAAAAUUUAAUCUAAAUAGAUCCCAAAUCAAAACCUCACUUAAAAUCAGAAUCUUUCCUAAACUCGAUCAAAAUCAUCAAAUAAAACCUUCCACUACGCUAAUCCUAGAGGAAUAACUUUAAAGAGAGAGGAAUCCAUCAAGAGAGAG
rnacentral:lncRNA from 1 species